GACGAACGCUGGCGGCGUGCUUAACACAUGCAAGUCGAACGGAAAGGCCCUGCUUUUGUGGGGUGCUCGAUUGGCGAACGGGUGAGUAACACGCGAGUAUACUGCACUUGACUUUCGGAUAACUUCAGGAAACUGGGGCUAAUAUCCGAUAGGAGCUCCUGCUGCAUGGUGGGGGUUGGAAAGUUUCGGCUGUUGUGGAUGGACUCGCGGCUUAUCAGCUUGUUUGUGGGGUAGGGGUUUACCAAGGCUUUGACGGGUAGCCGGCCUGAGAGGGUGACCGGCGACAUUGGGCCUGAGAUACGGCCCAGUCUCGUACGGGAGGCAGCAGUGGGGAAUAUUGCACAAUGGGCGGAAGCCUGAUGUAGCAACGCCGCGUGCGGGAUGACGGCCUUCGGGUUGUAAACCGCUUUCGCAUGUGACGAAGCGUGAGUGACGGUAAUGGGUAAAGAAGCACCGGCUAACUACGUG
rnacentral:rRNA from 1 species